rfam:Brassica napus, WGS project CCCW01000000 data, contig: 19316
UGUCUCUACGGGAAAUUAAUCUGAUAAAAUAAAAACGAUAUAAAGAAGAUUAGCACCUCCCUUUACAAGGAUGAAAAGCAAAAAAAAACAAGAGAUUAUUUUUCU